GGUAUCUUGCUACCUGCCGGCGAGUGGCGAACGGAUGAGUAAUACAUCGGAACGUGCCCUGUAGAGGGGGAUAACUAGUCGAAAGACUAGCUAAUGCCGCAUACGACCUGAGGGUGAAAGUGGGGGACCGCAAGGCCUCAUGCUAUAGGAGCGGCCGAUGUCUGAUUAGCUAGUUGGUGGGGUAAAGGCCCACCAAGGCGACGAUCAGUAGCUGGUCUGAGAGGACGAUCAGCCACACUGGGACUGAGACACGGCCCAGACUCCUACGGGAGGCAGAAGUGGGCCCAAA
rnacentral:rRNA from 1 species